rnacentral:rRNA from 1 species
AGAGUUUGAUUCUGGCUCAGAACGAACGCUGGCGGCGUGGUUAAGACAUGCAAGUCGAGCGGGAAUCUGCGGGUAGCAAUAUUCGUUGGUUUCAGCGGCGAACGGGUGCGUAACACGUGGGCAACCUACCUGAAAGAGUGGAAUAACUAGCCGAAAGGUUAGCUAAUGCCGCAUGUGGUCCGGAGAGACAUCUUUCCGGACUAAAGCUGGGGAUCGUAAGACCUGGCGCUUUUAGAUGGGCCCGCGGCCUAUCAGCUAGUUGGCGAGGUAACGGCUCACCAAGGCUUACGGGUAGCUGGUCUGAGAGGACGACCAGCCACACGGGAACUGAGACACGGUCCCGACACCUACGGGUGGCAGCAGUUUCGAAUUUUUCGCAAUGGGCGAAAGCCUGACGGAGCGACGCCGCGUGGGGGAUGAAGGUCUUCGGAUUGUAAACCCCUGUCAGCUGGGAACGAGGUCUCGUGGUGAAUAGCCAUGAGAUUUGAUAGUACCGGCAGAGGAAGCCGUGGCUAACUCUGUGCCAGCAGCCGCGGUAAUUCAGAGACGGCAAGCGUUGUUCGGAUUCACUGGGCGUAUAGGGUCCGCAGGUGGCGAAGCAAGUCUGACGUGAAAUCCCGCGGCCUAACCGCGGAACUGCGUCGGAUACUGCCUUGCUAGAGGACGGCAGAGGAGACUGGAAUUCACGGUGUAGCGGUGAAAUGCGUAGAUAUCGUGAGGAACACCGGUGGCGAAGGCGAGUCUCUGGACCGUUCCUGACACUCAGGGACGAAAGCGUGGGGAGCAAACGGGAUUAGAUACCCCGGUAGUCCACGCCCUAAACCGUGCUUACUUGGUGUGGGAGGAUUCGACCCCUUCCGUGCCGGAGCUAACGCGUUAAGUAAGCCGCCUGGGGAGUACGGCCGCAAGGUUAAAACUCAAAGAAAUUGACGGGGGCCCGCACAAGCGGUGGAGUAUGUGGCUCAAUUCGAUGCAACGCGAAGAACCUUACCUGGGUUUGACAUGCACCAUGAAAGCCGAUGAAAGUCGGUGACGGCCCGAAAGGGUGCUGGGGGUGCACAGGUGCUGCAUGGCUGUCGUCAGCUCGUGCCGUGAGGUGUUCGGUUAAGUCCGGUAACGAGCGCAACCCUUAUGUCCUGUUGCGAAGGCCGCAAGGCACUGCACUCUGGACAGACUGCCCUGUUUCAACGGGGAGGAAGGUGGGGAUGACGUCAAGUCCGUAUGGCCCUUACACCCAGGGCUGCACACGUACUACAAUGCACGGUACAAUGGGAAGCAAUACCGCGAGGUGGAGCAAAUCCUCUAAACCGUGCUCAGUUCAGAUCGUAGGCUGCAACUCGCCUACGUGAAGCUGGAAUCGCUAGUAAUGGCGCAUCAGCUACGGCGCCGUGAAUACGUUCCCGGGCCUUGUACACACCGCCCGUCACAUCAUGAAAGCCCCUUGUUCCCGAAGUCAUACCAGCUAACCGUAAGGAAGCGGGUGCCUAAGGAAUGAGUGGUGAUUGGGAUGAAGUCGUAACAAGGUA